rnacentral:tRNA from 1 species
GGGUGUAGCGCAGUUGGUAGCGCAUCUGGUUUGGGACCAGGGGGUCGCAGGUUCGAAUCCUGUCACCCCGA